rnacentral:rRNA from 1 species
GCAAGUCGAACGGUAACAGGACUAGCUUGCUAGUUGCUGACGAGUGGCGGACGGGUGCGUAACGCGUGGGAAUCUACCUUAGAGUUGGGGAUAAGCUUUGGAAACAGAGUCUAAUACCGAAUACGGUCUACGGACUAAAGUGUGCCUCUCCUUGGAAGCACACGCUUUAAGAUGAGCCCGCGUUAGAUUAGCUAGUUGGUGGGGUAAAGGCCUACCAAGGCGACGAUCUAUAGGGGGCGUGAGAGCGUGAUC